rnacentral:miRNA from 1 species
AUCCGGCCUGGGAGCACUCUCU